rnacentral:rRNA from 1 species
GAGUGAAACUCAAAGGAAUUGACGGGGACCCGCACAAGUAGCGGAGCAUGUGGUUUAAUUCGAAGCAACGCGAAGAACCUUACCUAAGCUUGACAUCCCAAUGACAUCUCCUUAAUCGGAGAGUUCCCUUCGGGGACAUUGGUGACAGGUGGUGCAUGGUUGUCGUCAGCUCGUGUCGUGAGAUGUUGGGUUAAGUCCCGCAACGAGCGCAACCCUUGUCUUUAGUUGCCAUCAUUAAGUUGGGCACUCUAGAGAGACUGCCAGGGAUAACCUGGAGGAAGGUGGGGAUGACGUCAAAUCAUCAUGCCCCUUAUGCUUAGGGCUACAC